GACGAACGCUGGCGGCGUGCUUAACACAUGCAAGUCGAACGGAAAGGCCCUGCUUGCAGGGUACUCGAGUGGCGAACGGGUGAGUAACACGUGGGUGAUCUGCCCUGCACUUCGGGAUAAGCCUGGGAAACUGGGUCUAAUACCGGCUAGGAGCCAUUUUUAGUGUGAUGGUUGGAAAGUUUUUUGGGUGUAGGAUGAGCUCGCGGCCUAUCAGCUUGUUGGUGGGGUAAUGGCCUACCAAGGCGGCGGCGGGUAGCCGGCCUGAGAGGGUGGACGGCCACAUUGGGACUGAGAGACGGCCCAGACUCCUACGGGAGGCAGCAGUGGGGAAUAUUGCACGAUGGGCGCAAGCCUGAUGCAGCGACGCCGCGUGGGGGAUGACGGCGUUCGGGUUGUAAACUCCUUUCGCUAGGAACGAAGCUUUUUGUGACGGUACCUAGAUAAGAAGCACCGGCUAACUACGUG
rnacentral:rRNA from 1 species